rnacentral:tRNA from 1 species
AGGCAAGAAACAUAAUUGUAAUAUGGUUUCGGCCCAUAACCAGGCAAAUCAACUUGCCCUUGCCUU